UACGUAGGCAGCGAGCGUUGUUCGGAAUUACUGGGCGUAAAGAGUGUGUAGGCGGUGUUCCCAGUCUGUUGUGAAAUCUCCCGGCUUAACUGGGAGGGUGCAGCGGAAACUAGAAUGCUAGAGGGUGGGAGAGGUAAGCGGAAUUCCUGGUGUAGCGGUGUAAUGCGUAGAUAUCAGGAGGAACACCGGUGGCGAAGGCGGGUCUCUGGGCCAAAACUGACGCUGAGGAGCGAAAGCGUGGGGAGCGAACAGG
rnacentral:rRNA from 1 species